UACGUAGGGCGCGAGCGUUGUCCGGAAUCAUUGGGCGUAAAGAGCUCGUAGGCGGCCUGUCGCGUCUGCUGUGAAAUCCCGGGGCUCAACCCCGGGCGUGCAGUGGAUACGGGCUGGCUGGAGGCAGGCAGGGGAGAACGGAAUUCCCGGUGUAGCGGUGAAAUGCGCAGAUAUCGGGAGGAACACCGGUGGCGAAGGCGGUUCUCUGGGCCUGUACUGACGCUGAGGAGCGAAAGCGUGGGGGAGCGAACAGG
rnacentral:rRNA from 1 species